UACGGAGGGUGCAAGCGUUAAUCGGAAUUACUGGGCGUAAAGCGUGCGUAGGCGGUUUGUUAAGUCUGCUGUGAAAUCCCCGAGCUCAACUUGGGAAUUGCAGUGGAUACUGGCAAGCUGGAGUACGGUAGAGGAAGGUGGAAUUCCCGGUGUAGCAGUGAAAUGCGUAGAGAUCGGGAGGAACACCAGUGGCGAAGGCGGCCUUCUGGACCAGUACUGACGCUCAUGCACGAAAGCGUGGGGAGCAAACAGG
rnacentral:rRNA from 1 species